CUUCUAGGUCCUCAGCUCUGCUUUGGCUUCUUAUCCUUUCUGAAAUCUGGCUUUUCAGUUUUGCCUUUGAUGCUAUAAGCAAUCCCAUAUACCCCUAGUAAACUCCUCCCUCAAGUUACCACAAGUAGUUUCUGUGGCUGUAGCCUGAAAAGCUACUGUAGUUCCAGUGUGAAAGGAGAAGAGUGGAGAGUUUGGUGUGGCUGGAGAGAAUGAUAUGUGUGUGAGUCGCUGGAGAUGAGGCAAUUUGGGACCAGGGUUUAAAGAGUGACAGGAAGAGAUCCCAAAGAACUUGGAAACAAACCUAUCUUCUGAGAGGACGUAAUGGAAUGAGAGAGGGAAGCAGGAAUCAGUUGGACCCAUCAGAGAGUUUGUUAUUGAAGAGUUCCUGAAUUUCUCCCAGAAUUCCCAAGGAAAAGGAAUCUCAGGGAAAUGGCCUGAAUUCUAUGUGGAAUGUGGGAACUUAAUCUGCUGUUUUGGGACAGCAGAAAAUUGUUGGUCAGCCUGGACUGUGGAAAAUAGAAGCUCAAUGAAGUGGUGUCAUGGGGUCGAACGAGGAGGUGGCUCUGAAACGUGCAUGUUGUUGACCUUUACAGUCCGAUGUGUUGCUGAUUGCACCCCCGCAGAACUUGAUGAAGCUUUGCAGUCAGGGUACAAAGAAGGCUUUGUGCUACUAAGCUGAUAGGCUCUGCUGGAGGGAUGUGGAUGCCAGGGAAUGUGCCAACAAACUGAAAGGGAAAAGAAAAUAAAAAGACAGCAUAGACAUUGUCA
rnacentral:lncRNA from 12 species